CCAGAUGUUCUAACUUACUAGCAAAAUCAGUUUUAAAUCUAACUCAAUGGCGUGGGUGUAACCGACGGACGGGGGAUGUAGGCGUAUAAAAUGUGAGACAUUCCAGAUGUUCCGGCAAGGAUAAGUUAACCGCUUACCAUUUUAGCCAAAUGAAGGAAUUUUUCGAACUCGUAGUUGGUACUAUGUUUGAACUUAUGAUUCAACUGAAGCAAGGGUUCGUGUAAUUAAGUAAUCUGAAAUCAUAGGUGUGUGCGUUUCAUGCAUUGGAAAACGAAUUUUACAGGUACACAACACUAAAGGAAAAACAUUAGUCAACACGAACAUUAGGACAUGACAAUUACACGUCAUCACUAAAUCCAUAUAUCAGACUCUUAGCUUCCUGGUCUUACAACAAGAAAACCAUCGGAGCAUCAUCUGCUAUUACACAACAGCUAUCAGUCAAAAGUUGUAUAAAUGCCACAGGCAAAUUGGGUGACAUUUUAAGACAAAGAGGUUGAUGACGAUGAUGAAGAUGGCAUAUAUAGUUCAUGAUAACACGUCCAGUUUCUUAGCUACAGUAGAUCAUAGGAGUUAAGGAGGACGGGUGCUCUAGAGUUAAAGAAUGUUGAGUAGCGCCGUCAAAAUGUUGCAGCUUUCGUGUCUUGUUGGUUUCCUGGCCGUUCUAUGUCAAGGUCAAGAUCUAUGGAACCGGUUUCCAUUCAGUCCAAAUCCCAAUACACAACCAACUCAAGUACCCCGAACUCAGCCACCAAAUCUGGCCGCGAUAUGGGGACAAUCUGCACGACAACCUUUCGCGCAAUUCAGUCAGAUGAGCAUGCCAGGUCAAAUGCCCAACCAAGCAUUGCCAAACCAAGGCAUGCCUAUUCCAGGAAAUCCUAACUUAGCAAUGCCCAACCCAGGAAUGUCUAAUUCAGCAAUGCCUAAUCCAGGAAUGCCCCGUUCGGGGACGCCUAAUAGAGCAAUGCCCCCCUCGGGAAUUCCCAGCCCAGGAAUGCCAAAACUAUGGAUGCCUAACGCAGGAAUGACCGACCAAGCUACGGGGCCUAACCAGAUGCCAGGCCCAGGAAUGCAGAGAUUAGGAAUGCCAAACCCUGGAAUGGCAAGUCAAGUAAUGAUGAAUUCAAUGAAUUUGCGUAUGCAAGGUCAAGGGAAUCCCACUAUGGCAGUGUGUGUACCCACAUUCUACCAGCCCCAGUUGUGUACAGUGAACGGUGAAAACCAACAUAAAUACACGUUACAAGCUGUUAUGGGAAUGCUACGUGACAAAAACAUAGAAAAGGUGCCAGAAUGUAUUCGCGGUAUUCAGAAACUCAAUUGCGGUGACUACAAUGCAGCCCAAACUAUCUGGAAGAAG